rnacentral:rRNA from 1 species
UACGAAGGGUGCAAGCGUUACUCGGAAUUACUGGGCGUAAAGCGUGCGUAGGCGGUUUGUUAAGUCCGUUGUGAAAGCCCUGGGCUCAACCUGGGAAUUGCAGUGGAUACUGGAGAGCUUGAGUCCGGGAGAGGUGAGUGGAACUGCGAGUGUAGAGGUGAAAUUCGUAGAUAUUCGCAAGAACACCAGUGGCGAAGACGGCUCUCUAGACCGCAACUGACGCUGAGACACGAAAGCGUGGGUAGCAAACAGG